rnacentral:rRNA from 1 species
UUCGCAAUGCCCGAAAGGGUGACGAAGCGACGCCGCGUGCGGGAAGAAGGCCUUCGGGUUGUAAACCGCUGUCGGGAGUUAAGAAAUGCAAGGGUGUUAACAGCAUCCUUGCUUGACUAAGGCUCCGGAGGAAGCCACGGCUAACUCUGUGCCAGCAGCCGCGGUAAAACAGAGGCGGCAAGCGUUGUUCGGAAUUAUUGGGCGUAAAGAGCACGUAGGCGGCCUUGCAAGUCAGUUGUGAAAGCCUUCCGCUCAACGGAAGAAUGCCAGCUGAUACUACAGGGCUUGAGUACGGGAGGGGAGAGUGGAACUUCUGGUGGAGCGGUGAAAUGCGUAGAUAUCAGAAGGAACACCGGCGGCGAAGGCGACUCUCUGGCCCGUAACUGACGCUGAGUGUGCGAAAGCUAGGGGAGCAAACGGGAUUAGAUACCCCGGUAGUCCUAGCCGUAAACGAUGGGCACUAAGUAGAGGGGUUUU